UUUGUUAGCCCCUAAUAUUGAGACUUGACGGAUGUCGGGCAGAAUACAUGUCAAGGGCUUGUGCAUUGCCGAUUGACAUGGGUUCGUUGAAGUGUUGGCAAGCAAUGUACAAGGCUGGGCGUGUGUCUAAGUUGGUGAUGGACUUAGGCAAGGCAGCUAGGCAAGGCAGCUUGAGUGUUGGCAAGGAAGCCUUGGUUCGUGGGCAUCGGAAAUGGCAAAC
rnacentral:lncRNA from 1 species